GAUGAACGCUGGCGGCGUGCUUAACACAUGCAAGUCGAACGGUGAACGAGGGAGCUUGCUCCCUCCGGAUCAGUGGCGAACGGGUGAGUAACACGUGAGCAAUCUGCCCUGGACUCUGGGAUAAGCGUUGGAAACGACGUCUAAUACCGGAUACGAGACGCGAAGGCAUCUUCAGCGUCUGGAAAGAACUUCGGUCCAGGAUGAGCUCGCGGCCUAUCAGGUAGUUGGUGCGGUAACGGCUCACCAAGCCUACGACGGGUAGCCGGCCUGAGAGGGUGACCGGCCACACUGGGACUGAGACACGGCCCAGACUCCUACGGGAGGCAGCAGUGGGGAAUAUUGCACAAUGGGCGCAAGCCUGAUGCAGCAACGCCGCGUGAGGGACGACGGCCUUCGGGUUGUAAACCUCUUUUAGCAGGGAAGAAGCGGAAGUGACGGUACCUGCAGAAAAAGCACCGGCUAACUACGUGCCAGCCGCCGCGGUAAAAC
rnacentral:rRNA from 1 species